GAAACUUGUGAUGAACAUCUUAGCGGCAUUUGAGACAUUUUUAGUGGUCAAAUUAUACAUUCUGUGUAAUGAGGAAUAUCAAGUACAAGCAAAACAAAGUAUUAGUGGAGAGGCAUUUGGAGGUAUAUAUGAAAAUGUAGGAACUGGACCAUGUAGAAUCUAAAGACAAAAUUGUAUCUUUCGAGUAUGAAAGAAAUAAUAAGGCAAUAACGAAUGAAAAUAUUGACACAAUAAUGAGCAUUCUUUUGGAAUCAAAAAAAGCAAAUGUAGCAAAAAUGAAAGAAAAUGAUGCAAAAAAUCUAAGAGAGAUGGAAAUUAGUAGAAGAAAUAAUCUUAAAACAAAUGAUAAAGUUGCUUCGUUGAAUUAUAACACAAGGUUAAACGAAAAUGUUGAUUAUAAAAAGAAAGGUUACAGUUUAGCGGAUUACAGAAACAAUAUCAUUGAUACAGAGGAAAACUUUAUUUCAGUUGAAUACGAUCCAAAAGGUCUAAAACAGUUAGAAUAUAGAAGUAGAAAUAAUAGUGUUGAACUGCACGAUAAAGUUGUUUCGAUGGACUUUUACAGGAGAUCAAAUGGGCUGACAGAAUCAAGAAGAGACAAUAUCAAAAAAUCGCAUGAAAUUCCGUGGCAGUACACAAAAACACUGAAGAAAUAUAAAAAAGGAAAAAUACAACAACACGACAAAUCAAUUGAUAUGGAGAAAAGGCGGAGAAAAAUGAUGAACGCAGACUUUUCUGCAGAAAGAGAGGAAAGAAAGAAACUAUUUGAUAUUGUUGUACAUAUUAAAGUCUAAGGUAAAUGUACCAGUAUUCGACAGAGUCUCAAUAGAUGCCACUUUAUCUUUAAUUGUCAAUAAAUGGGACAGGUGUUAUUUUGGCAUCAGAGUCAAGCACUGGUACUUUUAAUUUAGAAAAAGUUAAAUUAUUUAUAUUUUAAAUUAUUAUAACAGAAGAUGUAUUGUAUCUUAAACGAUUUACAUGUACUAAUAAUAAGUUAAUCGAUUCAGUAGGUGAAAAUUUGCUGUGACAGAUGGACAGACAGACGAGUGAUCCUAUAAGGGUUCCGUUUUUCCUUUUUGAGGUACGGAACCCUAAAAAUGUUUAGCCCGCGCUGCCAUGACGCCAUGCUUUUAGAAACUG